CUGAACCUCAUCUUGGACGCCAUCUUAUCCAGAUAUACUGCCACCUGCUGGCUGACAGCAGCACUACAAGCACACAAAAACACAACAGAUCAGGCAGCUGGCAAAGGUAAAAGCAAAGCUGUCCUCUAUCAGUGUCACAACAGAGCUAACUGAGAAUAAUAUGUCUUCUGUCAGGACUGCGUAUGAGCCCUGGUUUGGCUCUCAGGUGGGUUCCAGUCAAAGAGAGGAACCACCGGCAGACCGGAACAUGGUGGGCCAGCCUCAGCCUCCCUCUGACGGCCGGAGAGACAAGCGCGGGAACAAACGAAGCAAAGUUAAAACUCGGUCCGUUUUAAAAGUCAAGCUACCAACACUCAACAAGAAGGUGACAAAGGAGGAAAAAACACCGAGGAGAUGGACGUUAGAGCCCACUAUAAAUAAGAGCAAGCCAACUGCGAGCAGAGGAGGAGCGCAGUGUGUUGACACUGUGGUGGACACUGUUGGUAGAGAUGUUUUCUAUUUCUCCCAAAGCACACCCAGCAAAGCAAUAAAUGAGAAGGAAAAGGCCAAGCUUGCAGUUCUCAGGACCAUCUCCAGGGUGCUGGAGGAGAACCGGCUUCUGAGACAGAGACUGGUCGCCCUCAGCCAGGCCAUCUGAAGCUGCAGGGACCGACUGAAGUGGCCAACAACAAACGUAGCAGGACACAGUGAAGGUGCCAUUUGGGACAAAGUACCUGGAUGCUGCCUUGUGGUUCCCUGCCUCAGAUAAAGAUGUCCAUACAGCUGUUAUUCUUACACAUGGAGCUGAUGGAGACAUGAACUUCAGGCAUCUGGUGUCUCUGGCACAGGCUUUGGCCUCAGAGGGCUUCCUGUGUCUCUGCUUCACAUGCAAAGGUUUGAACCUGGGUUACAGAGUGUAGGCUUACCAUGCUGUGUGGGACUAUCUGAAAUCACUGCAGAGGUUUAACAUCAAGCACAUAUUUGUUGGAGGUCGGUCCAGGGGAAGCCGCGCUGCUGCAGCUUUAGCCUGAAAGCUGAGCGAUGAAUCAGAGGAUGCAGUGCAGGUUGUCAUCUGCCUGUUGUUCCCCCUGCACCCACCAGCACAGACACACACCCAUCAGUAGCGGAGUGACGAUCUCAGGGGGCUGCCUGAAAAUGUUCCCGUGCUGUCCCGUGCUGUGUCAGGCACCGAGGACAACAUGUGUGACAGGGUUCUUUGCGAAGGGACAAUAAAGCAAAUGAAAGCCCAAGAGGAGGUCUUCUGGAUAGGAGGCAGCCAUGGACUGACUGUGAAAGGAAGGUCUUAGGAGUCGGUGCUGGAUGAUGUGAACCCACAGGUCAUCACCUGGAUGAACAAGCAAGGAGCAUAGAUUAAUAUAUGUUGCAAGAUUGUAUUUUAUUUGUUUUGUUGUACUUGUUUAAUUUUUUUUUUUUACUUUUUUUCACAAAAUAUGGUUAAGGAGUUGUGUCAUCUUUUAAUCAAAAGUUUGUUGACACCUUCAUCAUUCAACCUGUUUUGAUCACCUCACAGAGGAACUCUUCACCUGCGCAAAACUGAUCUGACAUAAAAUGAUACUGCAGUACUGAACACUUACUCAGAAGCAGUGAAACAAUGAGCUCUUCAGCAUGGGGGAAACAAGUAUGAAGAUAUAUAUUUCUUUUAAUAAACAUACAUUUCAUAGCACUGAAUCUUAAACAGUGGUGCUAUGCUCUUGUCUUGAAAAAAGUCCUAUAAAAUGUGUAUAUUAUCUGUAGGAAUUAGUUUGGACACAAUCAUCAAUGUGAAUUUUCUGUGCAGAUAUUCUUCUGUUUUCUUUUUCUUGAUUUCUAUGGCAGUGGCCAUGGAAAGUAAUGACCUAUACUAAUUUUGUAUGGUCACCUACCAGCAAAAAGUACCUAAAAGUUGUACUUCACUUUACUAAAAAAGUAAAGAUACUUUGAAAAAAUAUUACUUAAGUAAAAGUGAAACUCACCCAUAAGAAUAGUGCUGAGGUAAAACUCUUUAAAGUAUCUUGAUAUUAAGUGAGCUCAAUGUUGUCAUCAAGGGAUAUUCCAGCGUAAAUUUAAUCCAUGAUCUAACACACCGUGACACUGAGUAAGACCCCCCCCCCAAGAGAUCAAGUUUUCCAACAGCUAGAUUGUCAUUUUAGCAACCUCAGAAAACACUGCAAGACAACAAUACAUCGCAGUAUACGCCUCCAAGAUGAAACCACCACCAAAUUGCCUCUCAUCGUCACAAAUAAUUCUCAGAACAGCACCAGACUUAAGCAACAGUACAAAUAGGGUCCCAGCACAUAGUUCAAGGCAUCACACAUCUGUUAGCAUUGCAGAUAGCUUUACAACUCAUCCCUCUCCUGCAGCAGCUUCCUCGUUGUGGGUGUGGAGUGC